ensembl:snoRNA SNORA66 Small nucleolar RNA SNORA66
UUACAGACAUCCUCACUAACUCUGUAUGAUGUUGCAGAGGAGAGGGGAAUCAGGUUUGUUAAAGCAGCUGCAGUGAUAGAAAUGAAUUAACUUCAGAUCCUACUGAGGUUGCCUACUACAGGGUGAAAAUG